UACGUAGGGUCCGAGCGUUUGUCCGGAGUUACUGGGCGUAAAGCGCGCGCAGGUGGCUCGAUAAGACUGGCGUGAAAGCCCCCGGCUCAACCGGGGAGGGUCGUUGGUGACUGUCGAGCUUGAGGGCAGCAGGGGCAGGUGGAAUUCCCGGUGUAGUGGUGAAAUGCGUAGAGAUCGGGAGGAACACCCGUGGCGAAGGCGGCCUGCUGGGCUGACCCUGACACUGAGGCGCGAAGGCGUGGGGAGCGAACGGGG
rnacentral:rRNA from 1 species